GGUUAAGCGACUAAGCGUACACGGUGGAUGCCCUGGCAGUCAGAGGCGAUGAAGGGCGUGCUAAUCUGCGAUAAGCGCCGGUAAGGUGAUAUGAACCGUUAUAACCGGCGAUACCCGAAUGGGGAAACCCAGUGUGAUUCGUCACACUAUCAUUAACUGAAUCCAUAGGUUAAUGAGGCGAACCGGGGGAACUGAAACAUCUAAGUACCCCGAGGAAAAGAAAUCAACCGAGAUUCCCCCAGUAGCGGCGAGCGAACGGGGAGGAGCCCAGAGCCUGAAUCAGCAUGUGUGUUAGUGGAAGCGUCUGGAAAGGCGCGCGAUACAGGGUGACAGCCCCGUACACAAAAGCGCAUGUGCUGUGAGCUCGAUGAGUAGGGCGGGACACGUGGUAUCCUGUCUGAAUAUGGGGGGACCAUCCUCCAAGGCUAAAUACUCCUGACUGACCGAUAGUGAACCAGUACCGUGAGGGAAAGGCGAAAAGAACCCCGGCGAGGGGAGUGAAAAAGAACCUGAAACCGUGUACGUACAAGCAGUGGGAGCACAGGUUUACCUGUGUGACUGCGUACCUUUUGUAUAAUGGGUCAGCGACUUAUAUUCUGUAGCAAGGUUAACCGUAUAGGGGAGCCGGAGGGAAACCGAGUCUUAAUUGGGCGUUAAGUUGCAGGGUAUAGACCCGAAACCCGGUGAUCUAGCCAUGGGCAGGUUGAAGGUUGGGUAACACUAACUGGAGGACCGAACCGACUAAUGUUGAAAAAUUAGCGGAUGACCUGUGGCUGGGGGUGAAAGGCCAAUCAAACCGGGAGAUAGCUGGUUCUCCCCGAAAGCUAUUUAGGUAGCGCCUCGUGAAUUCAUCUCCGGGGGUAGAGCACUGUUUCGGCUAGGGGGCCAUCCCGGCUUACCAACCCGAUGCAAACUGCGAAUACCGGAGAAUGUUAUCACGGGAGACACACGGCGGGUGCUAACGUCCGUCGUGAAGAGGGAAACAACCCAGACCGCCAGCUAAGGUCCCAAAGUCAUGGUUAAGUGGGAAACGAUGUGGGAAGGCCCAGACAGCCAGGAUGUUGGCUUAGAAGCAGCCAUCAUUUAAAGAAAGCGUAAUAGCUCACUGGUCGAGUCGGCCUGCGCGGAAGAUGUAACGGGGCUAAACCAUGCACCGAAGCUGCGGCAGCGAACGUAUCACCCAAGACAACUUUACGGAGUUGACGAUUGACGGAGCGAAGCGACGUCAAAGCGUUCAUUAAAGUCGAGUUGGCUUAGGGAUACGUUCGUUGGGUAGGGGAGCGUUCUGUAAGCCUGUGAAGGUGUGUCGUGAGGCAUGCUGGAGGUAUCAGAAGUGCGAAUGCUGACAUAAGUAACGAUAAAGCGGGUGAAAAGCCCGCUCGCCGGAAGACCAAGGGUUCCUGUCCAACGUUAAUCGGGGCAGGGUGAGUCGACCCCUAAGGCGAGGCCGAAAGGCGUAGUCGAUGGGAAACGGGUUAAUAUUCCCGUACUUGGUGUUACUGCGAAGGGGGGACGGAGAAGGCUAUGUUGGCCGGGCGACGGUUGUCCCGGUUUAAGCGUGUAGGUGUGUGUUCCAGGUAAAUCCGGUUCACUUUAACACUGAGGCGUGACGACGAGGCACUACGGUGCUGAAGCAACAAAUGCCCUGCUUCCAGGAAAAGCCUCUAAGCAUCAGGUAACAUCAAAUCGUACCCCAAACCGACACAGGUGGUCAGGUAGAGAAUACCAAGGCGCUUGAGAGAACUCGGGUGAAGGAACUAGGCAAAAUGGUGCCGUAACUUCGGGAGAAGGCACGCUGACACGUAGGUGAAGUGAUUUACUCACGGAGCUGAAGUCAGUCGAAGAUACCAGCUGGCUGCAACUGUUUAUUAAAAACACAGCACUGUGCAAACACGAAAGUGGACGUAUACGGUGUGACGCCUGCCCGGUGCCGGAAGGUUAAUUGAUGGGGUCAGCGCAAGCGAAGCUCCUGAUCGAAGCCCCGGUAAACGGCGGCCGUAACUAUAACGGUCCUAAGGUAGCGAAAUUCCUUGUCGGGUAAGUUCCGACCUGCACGAAUGGCGUAAUGAUGGCCAGGCUGUCUCCACCCGAGACUCAGUGAAAUUGAACUCGCUGUGAAGAUGCAGUGUACCCGCGGCAAGACGGAAAGACCCCGUGAACCUUUACUAUAGCUUGACACUGAACAUUGAGCCUUGAUGUGUAGGAUAGGUGGGAGGCUUUGAAGCGUGGACGCCAGUCUGCGUGGAGCCGACCUUGAAAUACCACCCUUUAAUGUUUGAUGUUCUAACGUGGACCCGUAAUCCGGGUUGCGGACAGUGUCUGGUGGGUAGUUUGACUGGGGCGGUCUCCUCCUAAAGAGUAACGGAGGAGCACGAAGGUUGGCUAAUCCUGGUCGGACAUCAGGAGGUUAGUGCAAUGGCAUAAGCCAGCUUGACUGCGAGCGUGACGGCGCGAGCAGGUGCGAAAGCAGGUCAUAGUGAUCCGGUGGUUCUGAAUGGAAGGGCCAUCGCUCAACGGAUAAAAGGUACUCCGGGGAUAACAGGCUGAUACCGCCCAAGAGUUCAUAUCGACGGCGGUGUUUGGCACCUCGAUGUCGGCUCAUCACAUCCUGGGGCUGAAGUAGGUCCCAAGGGUAUGGCUGUUCGCCAUUUAAAGUGGUACGCGAGCUGGGUUUAGAACGUCGUGAGACAGUUCGGUCCCUAUCUGCCGUGGGCGCUGGAGAACUGAGGGGGGCUGCUCCUAGUACGAGAGGACCGGAGUGGACGCAUCACUGGUGUUCGGGUUGUCAUGCCAAUGGCACUGCCCGGUAGCUAAAUGCGGAAGAGAUAAGUGCUGAAAGCAUCUAAGCACGAAACUUGCCCCGAGAUGAGUUCUCCCUGAGACUUAGAGUCUCCUGAAGGAACGUUGAAGACGACGACGUUGAUAGGCCGGGUGUGUAAGCGCAGCGAUGCGUUGAGCUAACCGGUACUAAUGAACCGUGAGGCUUAACCUU
rnacentral:rRNA from 2 species